rnacentral:rRNA from 1 species
UACGGAGGGUGCAAGCGUUAUCCGGAUUUACUGGGUUUAAAGGGUGCGUAGGCGGGUUGUUAAGUCAGUGGUGAAAGAUUUGAGCUCAACUCAAAAACUGCCAUUGAUACUGACGAUCUUGAAUACAGUUGAGGUGGGCGGAAUGUGUCAUAUAGCGGUGAAAUGCUUAGAUAUGACACAGAACACCGAUUGCGAAGGCAGCUCGCUAAACUGUUAUUGACGCUGAGGCACGAAAGCGUGGGGAGCGAACAGG